GUUCACUUAUAAAAUGGAGCCAUUUAAAGGUGAGGACUAGGAGGAGGGUAUAGCUCAGUGGUAGAGUGUGUGCUUAAGCAAGCACAAGGUCCUGGGUUCAAUCCUCAGUGCCUCCCUUAAAAUAAAUAAAUAAUCCUAAUUACCUCCCCGAUCAAAAAAAGGUGAAGACUAGAAGAUGAUUGCACGCAUACAUCCCUGAUGGAUGCUCUGAUGAAGAAAAAAUAAUAGCAGUAGGAGGAGUUGUUGUUUAAAUAAAGAGAGCUGAUAACUCUAUAUAAAUAACAUAUUGUUAAGAGAUGAGAACUGGCAUUGGUGGAGGAGGCGUUGGGCACUGGGCGUGAGCCUCCACCUCAGCCCCGCCUUUCCCCUCUGAACACACCCCAGCCACACCAGGCCCCCUGCUCACCCUGAGCCACUGGGAGUCAAAAGCCCCUUCAGUCUCUCACAGGAAUUCACUGUUGCUGUUCCCCCUCUCACUGUCAGAGGGACCCAAUGGGCCUCGGCCUCACUCCAUCCCCACCCCCACCCCAAAUCCAGGUAUUGAGUCAAAGGGCAAAGAGCUCAUUGCCCCUCCCUUACUGACAAGGACACUGAGACUGGGCCCUUCAGGAAGUGAGUCCUGGGAUCUGGGAAUUACUCCCCAGGUCCUGAAGCAGAUUAAGCCACAGCGGAACAUUCUUUCUAACCUGAAGCCCCAGCUUCUUCACUACCUGAUACAGGGGUCUCCAGGUGAGAGCCCCCUCCUCACCUCCGCUCUCGGCUGCCCAUCUCUCCCCAACUCACCCAGGCCAGUCCCCACCCCAUCUCGUCCAUUCCAACAUCUGCAGCGCCCGCCCACACCACCACCCCGAGUCUCCACACAGGCCACACGUGUCUUCAGGGAGCCAUUCCCCAACUCAAGAUCCUUCCAAACGCCAUCACCACAGGAUCAAACCCUGGGUCAUCACAGGAUGAGACCAUCACCCAUAGGAUCAAACCUUUCUUUGAGGAAUCACCUGCAGCAGGGCCAUGGGGCAUGUGAGUCACAAAAUUUCUCCCCGUGGGACAGUUUCUAUCCCUUCAGCCAACCUAUCUGCCCCCAGCAGAGGCUGGGCUUUGGACACGGCAUCUAAGUCUCAGCUGUCUCCAUGGCAACAAAGCUCGAGGAACAAACUGAGGGGUGCAUCACUCCUUCCUCAUCACUGUCACCAAGGCCUUCGCUGGGCCAGGCCCUGGGCUGGCUGCUAGGACCAUCGAGGAAAAUGGGCCUGUCCCAGCCCCGGAGAGGCUCCCAGUCCAGGGGACUGACCCAUCACUGGCCUGCAAGAGACAGGGGACAUGCCAAGGGCGGAACAGUGCCUGGAUCUGCUGGAUCAAGGAAUGACCAAGCAGAGCAAGGAAGGGACGAGUUCCCCGGGGAGAGCGGUUUUGAGCUGAGUGAUUUCCAGCGUGUCCCAGUGUGGAGAGGUGCUCCUGAGUGUCACAGGUGCCACCAGGCUGCAGUCCUCACCCCACAAUGUCAUUAAUUAUCAAUACAAUAACAGCCACCAACUGCUGAAUGCCCGUCAUGUACAUGCUUACCUGACUGGAUCAUGAAAACUCUCCCAGAGGUCUGGUUUCCGGUGCUGGGGCUGUGACGAUCAACCAGGUGGCAGAGCAGUGACGGAACAGGCAAGACUGCUGGUGGCACAGUCAGGCGGGGCGGCCAGUGCAGCAGAGCAUCACGGAGGGCGUCGGAGGAAGAGCUGGUACGUGCAGGCUGCCUCCCAAAGGUGGGACGUGGGGGUCGGCUCUGGGAGAUGGGCAGGAGCCCAUUUGUAGGGUGGGGACACCCUGACCUACCUCUCGGGGCUGUCAGAGACCGAAGACGCUCUCGCGCCUGAGCGGUGUCCCCAGCCCAGCCAGCGCGGGCACUGCGGGGAGAAGGGACUGCAUGGACAUUGGCUGGGAGACAGGACACUGAUGCAGGGCACUCAGCAGCGAACUCCCCAAACGACUGCAAAACCAACAGUGAAAAGAAAGACGGAGGGGAGGCACCACCAGCCACUUCCCGAGCCCCUACCAUGCUUGCAGGGCCCCGAGCUAUGGUGGCUUGAUCUCAAGAUUAGCCCCCUCCCAAGGCAGACACUUGCUUCUGUGGCUUCUAUCCCCACUGGACAUGUUACAGGCAUCACCUUCCUUUCUGUGGUUUACGAAGUCCAGUUGGUACCAAGCAUGGGGUCACCCAGGUGGUGACGUGGGUGCUGACAAGUCUGAUGUGACUCAUCACCGACAGAGCAGAAUUCACGGCAACGAAGAGCUCAGACUGCACAGUUGGGCCAACCUGGGUGUGACCUGGGCCGGAUCUGCCCUGCCCUGGGCCUCAGUUUCCCAUUGGUCACUUGGGGUUAAUAAAAGUCCCAUCCUGGACUAGCUGCUGUGAUGAUUAAAUGGAAUGAUGCCAGUGAAGGGUGCAGCGCACAGCCAGUGCUCGAAGCACCUCAGCCGUCGCUACUGCUACGAAGCCCCGAAGACCUCAGAUGAGAAACCCGAGCCUCACGUGGCUUCCUGGGAUCGUGCAAAUCUGCCCCCUCCUUCCUAGCAUCUGCCGCGACUCUGCUCCGAGAUUGCUCUCUCCCCCCAUUGUCAUGUCACAUCGGUCCAUAAAUAUUUAAACAACAUGUCAUCAGAUUAUUAUAACAUAUGAUCUAUAGCACUGAUGUGCUGCAGUUCUGCGCAUUUGGGCUGCGUUUUCAGAAUAUCGAGACAUAAAAUAUUUAUGUAUUUAGCCAACCACGAGAUCUCACAUUCUGUCUCAAAAUGCUGGGUGGUGGCAAGACGCUGAACUGAGACAC